ACACGUAGGUGGCAAGCGUUGUCCGGAAUUACUGGGUGUAAAGGGCGUGUAGGCGGGGAUGUAAGUCAGAUGUGAAGUACCACGGCUCAACCGUGGGGGUGCAUCUGAAACUAUGUCUCUUGAGUGCUGGAGAGGAAAGCGGAAUUCCUAGUGUAGCGGUGAAAUGCGUAGAUAUUAGGAGGAACACCAGUGGCGAAGGCGGCUUUCUGGACAGUAACUGACGCUGAGGCGCGAAAGCGUGGGGAGCAAACAGGAUUAGAUACCCUGGUAGUCCACGCCGUAAACGAUGGAUACUAGGUGUAGGAGGUAUCGACCCCUUCUGUGCCGGAGUUAACACAAUAAGUAUCCCACCUGGGGAGUACGGCCGCAAGGCUGAA
rnacentral:rRNA from 1 species